AAGUCGUAACAAGGUCUCCGUUGGUGAACCAGCGGAGGGAUCAUUACCGAGUUUACAACUCCCAAACCCCUGUGAACAUACCUUAAUGUUGCCUCGGCGGAUCAGCCCGCGCCCCGUAAAACGGGACGGCCCGCCAGAGGGACCCAAACUCUAAUGUUUCUUAUUGUAACUUCUGAGUAAAACAAACAAAUAAAUCAAAACUUUCAACAACGGAUCUCUUGGUUCUGGCAUCGAUGAAGAACGCAGCAAAAUGCGAUAAGUAAUGUGAAUUGCAGAAUUCAGUGAAUCAUCGAAUCUUUGAACGCACAUUGCGCCCGCUGGUAUUCCGGCGGGCAUGCCUGUUCGAGCGUCAUUUCAACCCUCAAGCCCCCGGGUUUGGUGUUGGGGAUCGGCUCUGCCCUUCUGGGCGGUGCCGCCCCCGAAAUACAUUGGCGGUCUCGCUGCAGCCUCCAUUGCGUAGUAGCUAACACCUCGCAACUGGAACGCGGCGCGGCCAUGCCGUAAAACCCCAACUUCUGAAUGUUGACCUCGGAUCAGGUAGGAAUACCCGCUGAACUUA
rnacentral:rRNA from 1 species